rfam:Camelus ferus unplaced genomic scaffold scaffold948, whole genome shotgun sequence.
GAAGGUAUAGCUCAAUGGUAGAGUGAGUGCCUAGCAUGCAUGAGGUCCUGGGUUCGGUCCCCAGUAUCUCUA